UUAAAUUGAAGAGUUUGAUCAUGGCUCAGAUUGAACGCUGGCGGCAGGCCUAACACAUGCAAGUCGAACGGUAACAGGAAACAGCUUGCUGUUUCGCUGACGAGUGGCGGACGGGUGAGUAAUGUCUGGGAAACUGCCUGAUGGAGGGGGAUAACUACUGGAAACGGUAGCUAAUACCGCAUAACGUCGCAAGACCAAAGAGGGGGACCUUCGGGCCUCUUGCCAUCGGAUGUGCCCAGAUGGGAUUAGCUAGUAGGUGGGGUAACGGCUCACCUAGGCGACGAUCCCUAGCUGGUCUGAGAGGAUGACCAGCCACACUGGAACUGAGACACGGUCCAGACUCCUACGGGAGGCAGCAGUGGGGAAUAUUGCACAAUGGGCGCAAGCCUGAUGCAGCCAUGCCGCGUGUAUGAAGAAGGCCUUCGGGUUGUAAAGUACUUUCAGCGGGGAGGAAGGGAGUAAAGUUAAUACCUUUGCUCAUUGACGUUACCCGCAGAAGAAGCACCGGCUAACUCCGUGCCAGCAGCCGCGGUAAUACGGAGGGUGCAAGCGUUAAUCGGAAUUACUGGGCGUAAAGCGCACGCAGGCGGUUUGUUAAGUCAGAUGUGAAAUCCCCGGGCUCAACCUGGGAACUGCAUCUGAUACUGGCAAGCUUGAGUCUCGUAGAGGGGGGUAGAAUUCCAGGUGUAGCGGUGAAAUGCGUAGAGAUCUGGAGGAAUACCGGUGGCGAAGGCGGCCCCCUGGACGAAGACUGACGCUCAGGUGCGAAAGCGUGGGGAGCAAACAGGAUUAGAUACCCUGGUAGUCCACGCCGUAAACGAUGUCGACUUGGAGGUUGUGCCCUUGAGGCGUGGCUUCCGGAGCUAACGCGUUAAGUCGACCGCCUGGGGAGUACGGCCGCAAGGUUAAAACUCAAAUGAAUUGACGGGGGCCCGCACAAGCGGUGGAGCAUGUGGUUUAAUUCGAUGCAACGCGAAGAACCUUACCUGGUCUUGACAUCCACGGAAGUUUUCAGAGAUGAGAAUGUGCCUUCGGGAACCGUGAGACAGGUGCUGCAUGGCUGUCGUCAGCUCGUGUUGUGAAAUGUUGGGUUAAGUCCCGCAACGAGCGCAACCCUUAUCCUUUGUUGCCAGCGGUCCGGCCGGGAACUCAAAGGAGACUGCCAGUGAUAAACUGGAGGAAGGUGGGGAUGACGUCAAGUCAUCAUGGCCCUUACGACCAGGGCUACACACGUGCUACAAUGGCGCAUACAAAGAGAAGCGACCUCGCGAGAGCAAGCGGACCUCAUAAAGUGCGUCGUAGUCCGGAUUGGAGUCUGCAACUCGACUCCAUGAAGUCGGAAUCGCUAGUAAUCGUGGAUCAGAAUGCCACGGUGAAUACGUUCCCGGGCCUUGUACACACCGCCCGUCACACCAUGGGAGUGGGUUGCAAAAGAAGUAGGUAGCUUAACCUUCGGGAGGGCGCUUACCACUUUGUGAUUCAUGACUGGGGUGAAGUCGUAACAAGGUAACCGUAGGGGAACCUGCGGUUGGAUCACCUCCUUACCUUAAAGAAGC
rnacentral:rRNA from 6 species